UACGUAGGGUGCGAGCGUUGUCCGGAAUUAUUGGGCGUAAAGAGCUCGUAGGCGGUUUGUCGCGUCGACUGUGAAAACCCGAGGCUUAACCUCGGGCCUGCAGUCGAUACGGGCAGGCUAGAGUUCGGUAGGGGAGACUGGAAUUCCUGGUGUAGCGGUGAAAUGCGCAGAUAUCAGGAGGAACACCGGUGGCGAAGGCGGGUCUCUGGGCCGAUAUUGACGCUGAGGAGCGAAAGCGUGGGGAGCAAACAGG
rnacentral:rRNA from 1 species